CAUGACAUAGAGCAUCAUCCAUUCCAGGCAGGCCUGGGCCAGCCUCUGUGCAUAGGAGAACGGGCCUUGGGGUAAGAAGACAGUGGAGGCUGGCCUGGUGCAUCCUCCACCCUGGUGUGUGGCAAGAAGGCAAGGUGUCUUUUCCCCUCUGAACAUACCAGCCACACAGUGAGGGGGACAGCACUGCUGCUGGUGAGAAGGCUUGGCCAGAACUGCAGUGAACCCGGCACCAGCAUGGGAGCCGUCCCUCACCUUGGCCCAUCGCCCCUUUCUCCCUGUUGGCCUGGGAUGGUAUCACGGAAAUUGGGGCUUUCUUCUUCUCACUCCCGUUUCCCUUUAUUUAAUUAUUUUGAAACAUCUGCUGCUGCAGUGAGAUCAGCAUGUGAGCCGUGAUAUCUCGUCUGUUCUAUUUCGAGCAGCAGGGAACCAAAUGUGGGAUGGUGCUGUCACCUCCUCUCUGGGUAAGGACUGUGUCUCCAAGAACCCACUGGGCCGACUGAGCCAAGUGGCUUUGGGCACACUCGGGAUAUUUUCUUCUCCAGGGUGGAUGCCUGGGUUUCUUUGUAGGGUGAGUGCCUUGAACCAACCUGGUCAAAGCUUGUGGGGAAGCCUGACAGAAUCCUAAGUGGAUGCAUGGAUGGUCAAGGUUGCAAAGACAGCACCAAGCUGCAGAAGGAAGACAAGGCAGGGCUCAGAGGGACAUGUGAGUCCAUCUUGAGGCUUAAUUAAUUAUGCGUAUAAGGCUGGACCAACUGCUGCAACAAGUAAGUGCAGGGCUUGACACUGUCACUCCUAGUUGAAUGGCCAUUGAACUUGAUGUUCUCAUCUGUGCCAAAGAAAUAAUAGCUUCCUCAUCGUUCUCAUCACUCUCUGGGUUCCUAUGAGGAUCACGCGGGAUAAUGUGUAUAAAAGUGCUUUGUAAAUGGAAAAGCAUGCUGCAAUAUAAGGUAUUAUAUUAAUAGUAACAACUGUCGUUUCUGAUCCCGAUGAUUCAUUUGGGGUCGGAGCUCUCAGCGCUGCUACCGUUACUGCCCCACGUCGUGCUUCAAAGCUGCAAUUACCAUGUGCAGUUUCAUUUGAUACUUAAUGAUCAUGGAAUGUUAGUGCUGGAAAGAAUCUUGGAGGUGAACUAAUCCAGCCUAGUCACUUGGUAUGUGGUGAGACACCCAUGGAGAGGGGAGGCUGGAUCUGAGGUUCCCUGGGGCCUGAGACUUUAGCCCUUCAGUGCUCCAGAGUGGGCUGUUUGACUUUUUGGAUUAGGAUGCCCUGUACUUUCUGAAAAGUCUAGAGACCAGGAAGUUUGGGUGGGACACUUACCCUUAGUCAUUAGGUGGAGUUGCCACUCUGACUCACGUCUGCUUGCUCACGCCGACCCCACUCGGAGCUCCACUGCUUGAGGUUCUGGGCAGAUUUGGACAGUGCUCAGGGGUAGGUCAGAUGUUCAGAGGGUUGGGCAUAGGGUCCAGGAAAGAAGGGAGUGGGAACUGAAGUGUGCGGCCAACAAGGAAAGGAGACCAGAGCAAUUUCAGAACAAAGCAGGCCGAGCUACCUCUAUUUCUGACCUCGGUCCUUGUCAGACCCACCCUCCUUGGACUCUCUUGAUCUGUCCAAGACGCCAGCCACCAGGACACUCUCAGAAGGUACAGCUAGAGGACAGGGGGGGGGCCCCUUCUGUAGAGAAGACUGAGGGAACCAGAGAUGCUUUAAGAUUCAGAGGGCAGUCAGGCUUACUCUAGAUAGAAGAGUAAGGACCACUGGGAGGACGUUCUGGCAAAACUGACUCUGGCCUUCUGUUCACUUUUCAUUCAUGCUGUGAUUGAACCCUUUACUGCCUCCAGGUCUUGCUUAUGUGUCCCCUUAUAGAUGAGGCCUAGGAACCCCUCUAUUUCAACAUGCGCUUGCACCCCCCACACUUUGACUACUCUGUCUGAACUGGAUUCACCAUCCUAAACAUACUGAAGAAUUGCUCGUUAGCAUGGAGAGUGUCUGUCUACCCUCCACCCAACUUCGCCUGACAUUCACAUCUGAAUAACCAUACAGUGGAGCAAAGCUGGAGCCCAAGCAUUGAACAUUGGUGUGAAGCUGCUCCCUAAACCAUAGCGCUCUGUUGAAGGUCACUGGUUUUUCUACUCACGCCUUUUUCCUUUGCAGAGUCUAAUCCAGGAUCCCACCUGUCACAUCUCCUUAGUCUCCUCCAACCUGUGACAAGACUUUGUCUUUCGUGACUUAGACAUUGGGAAGAGCCCUGCUUGGUUAUUCGGGUAGAACGUCCCCCAAUUUGGGUUUGUCUGGUGUUUUCUUAUGUUUAAUAUAUCAUGAUUUUAUUUACUCUUUAUUGGGUCUCUCCCUGAACUGGAUGGUCAGCUCCCCCUGAAUAAGCUUUCUGGUCACUGAUGUACCCCAGCCCCCAGUGGAGCUCCUGGCCCAUGUGUUUCGUUGAUACUUGCUGAGUGACGGAGGAGGUGGUGAACUCCCCAGCAUCAGCUGAGCAUCUGACCGGGAGUGAGAGAAACCCAGUGCAGCUGGGUGCUGGCAGAGCCUUGGUGGGCGAAUGGGUUGGCUGGGCCUUGAGGCCUCUUUCAGCAUUCAGAUUCUGUGAUUUAUAAUCUGAUGGUGAUGUGUGGGUUCAAGUUCACUGAAUUCCACAGGUGUGAGCUGGCCAUGUGCUGGCUGUGGAACCCUGUGUUGGGCACCUAGGAUCCACACCCUAAAGUGAAUUUAUAUGCCUUGUGGGCCAAGGACCCAGGGAAAUGCAUGAGAGGGGCCCUUGGUGAUGCUGCAGGCAGCUGGUGGUCUAGAGCCUGGACUUUACGUCAGUGGUUCCCAAGGUCCAGCCUGCUUCAGAAUCACCCAGAAGACUCUGUUAAAACUCAAAUGGCUGGGUCUCACCCCCAGAGGUUUUAGUUUGCUUGGUCUUGGGGGGGGCCUGAGAACUUGCAUUUCUGACAGGUCCCCAGGUGAUGCUAUUGUUGCUGGUCCAGGGAAACCCCCGCUUUGAGAACCACUGCUCUAGAUGUUCAGAGGAUAAAUAGAUCACUGCCAACGAGCAGGAACCAGGAAGGCUUCAUGGAGGAGGAGGUCAGGUUUGAGUGGGUGGGAUUUAUACCUGUGAGAGUGGGGCUUGAGUCACACAUAGCUGCCACAUGCAGUCUGCAGGUGCCUUUUGUCUGCCUUUGCCCUGUUGGCCUCUGGCCUCAUCGUGGCCUUGCCUGGCCUUCUCGGUACCAUGAGCAGUCUUGGCCGGGGCAGUCUAAGCCCCCAGAAGGGGAGUCUGACUAAGCCUUUGACAAGAGUUGACCUUGGCUGGCUUGGAUGGAGUCACUCUGAGGCCUGGACACAGCCCGUAUUGCACAGGCUGUCUGGAUGUGUUUAUUUGCCUGGGCCGUGCCCGCUGCCUCCUGGCACUGUUGGAGGUGUUGCUGUUGGGCUCCAAGGCUCUAUUUCUGUUUUCCCGUCUGGCACCAGCUCAGCGGAGGCAGAUGAGGUGUGUGGCCACCCUUGCUUUCUUCCUGGCUCCAUGUUCUUCUUGAGGCUGGUACUUGAUCAGGUAGAACAUUUUAAUCUCACUAGAUUUUCUGUUCUGGAAGCAGACGGCUUCUUUCUGGGGGAAGAGAGAUGCUGAAGGAGGAAGAAAGCUUUUAGGGAGGCAAAUAAUUAAAUUAUCUUUUUUUUUUUUUUUUUUUUUUUUGGUCUUUUUGCCUUUUCUAGGGCCAUUUCCCGCAGCAUAUGGAGGUUCCCAGGCUUGGGGUCUAAUCGGAGCUGUAGCUGCCGGCCAGAGCCACAGCCACAGCAACGCAGGAUCCUUAACCCACUGAGCAAGGCCAGAGAUCGAACCCGAAACCUCAUGGUUCCUAGUCAGAUUCAUUAACCACUGCACCACGAUGGCAGCAGCUCCAUGGACUAUUAGCUUUUUAAUAAGUUACAUUUAGGAGUUCUCCUGUGGCUCAGCAGGUUAAGGAUCAGGCAUUGUCACUGCAGUGGUUUAGGUCACUGCUGUGGUGUAGGUUCGAUCCCUGGCCUAGGAACUUCUGCAUGCCAAGAAUGCC
rnacentral:lncRNA from 1 species